GAUGAACGCUGGCGGCGUGCCUAAUACAUGCAAGUCGAGCGAACGGACGAGAAGCUUGCUUCUCUGAUGUUAGCGGCGGACGGGUGAGUAACACGUGGAUAACCUACCUAUAAGACUGGGAUAACUUCGGGAAACCGGAGCUAAUACCGGAUGAUAUUGUGAACCGCAUGGUUCAAAAGUGAAAGACGGUCUUGCUGUCACGUAUAGAUGGAUCCGCGCUGCAUUAGCUAGUUGGUAAGGUAACGGCUUACCAAGGCAACGAUGCAUAGCCGACCUGAGAGGGUGACCGGCCACACUGGAACUGAGACACGGCCCAGACUCCUACGGGAGGCAGCAGUAGGGAAUCUUCCGCAAUGGGCGCAAGCCUGACGGAGCAACGCCGCGUGCGUGAUGAAGGUCUUCGGAUCGUAAACCUCUGUUAUUAGGGAAGAACAUAUGUGUAAGUAACUGUGCACAUCUUGACGGUACCUAACCAGAAAGCCACGGCUAACUACGUG
rnacentral:rRNA from 1 species